rnacentral:rRNA from 1 species
AACGAACGCUGGCGGCAUGCCUAACACAUGCAAGUCGAACGAGACCUUCGGGUCUAGUGGCGCACGGGUGCGUAACGCGUGGGAACCUGCCCUUAGGUUCGGAAUAACUCCCCGAAAGGGGUGCUAAUACCGGAUAAUGUCUUCGGACCAAAGAUUUAUCGCCUUUGGAUGGGCCCGCGUUGGUUUAGCUAGUUGGUAGGGUAAAAGCCUACCAAGGCGACGAUCCAUAGCUGGGCUGAGAGGAUGAUCAGCCACACUGGGACUGAGACACGGCCCAGACUCCUACGGGAGGCAGCAGUGGAGAAUAUUGGACAAUGGGCGAAGGCCUGAUCCAGCAAUGCCGCGUGAGUGAUGAAGGCCUUAGGGUUGUAAAGCUCUUUUACCCGGGAUGAUAAUGACAGUACCGGGAGAAUAAGCUCCGGCUAACUCCGUG